AAGAGGAUAAAGGCUAAGAACUUCUGUAUCUGAUACCCAUUGCGCUUUGGAGUUGCUUCUUGCUAUUCCUUUUGGUAAGGAAUCACCCACUGCACUUGAAUAAAGCUGACUUAUGGUUGUCUUGGUAAAGGAGUGAAUGAAAGUGUGGGGAGAGAGGACCUGGUAAAGUGUGGAUUCCAGGACAGACUCUAAGAAACUGAUACAAGAAAGCUGACCUUCCUCUUACUCAUGCCUGAUCUUGGUGUCUCUGCCUAGGAAUGUUUUUGUCUGUCCCUAGCUACAGCACAAGUCAAGAGCCCCAGGAUGCAGCCUGAACCAGCCAUAAGUAGUAUGGAGAUAGAACCUGAUUCCCAAUAUCCUUGGCCAUACUACAUGCACAGUGUCACAGAAAGUGGACCCUUGCAUGGCACCACAGAAGCUACCCAGUUUUUAGAAAACUACCUUUUAUCCUCACAAUGUGGUAAAGUAAAUGUUGCUUGUAUAUUUUUAUAAGAACAGGAAGGUUGCUUUAUGAGUACAGCAUCUCCCUCAUGCUGACUUAGUCAGUUGUCCGAUAAAAUAAGUUAUCCUCCACCUUGUUUAAAUUUAAAUCUUCUGCCCCGAGAGCCUGGUUUGCUCUUGGCCCUAUUUGUAAGGGCAAAGUAAGGACAGCCCUUAUUUUGAGCUUAUCUGUUAGAUAGAAGGUAGACGGAAAUGAUGGAAUGGGGUGAAGGGAAUCCUGUAGAUAGGCUAAGUCCCGUUUGUUGUUAUAUACAUCUUGCUGGUCUGUUGUAAAACUCUGGCCAUUGCCUUUAGUAGAAAACAUCAAUUUAAAAACUAACACAGUGUCUUACCCAACAGAUGGCCAUUGAUCAAUCAGGAACUGUGAGUAUUCUCAAAGAGCAGUUAGAUAAUAAGUAACCAGCUAAACUAUCCUGGCAGCUAUGUCUAUCACCCACUAAUCAGAAUGCCCCAAGUGGGUAACUGUCCUCAGCUGCAGAGGAGUUACUCCAGAUAUAUCACAAACUAAAACAGGAUAUUUUCCUAUACAUGAGCACAGAUAAGGGUCUGCAUCCUCUUCUCCCUCACCCUCUGCCUCAGCCCACACCUUUUGUGCUUUUCUAGAUUAGAAGAAAAAUAAACUUAAAAGGACUAACAGGUACAUUAAGACUCAGAAGGGAAGAGGGUCACAUUACCUCAUGAAUAUGCUACCAAUCCCCAAAACACUCCUAAGGCUUGUUAAAUUUAAUUCCCCAGUGCCACAGGUAUAAUCCUUUCAAAGAUCAUGACAGGGGCUCCUGUUGUCUUAUUUUAAAGACCCUAAUCACUGCAAAGCUAUUUGCUAGGCUCCGGUCCUCAGAGCAGGAGCAGUAGGCAGGGCUAUGUGCAUCAGAGUGACUCCUAAGGCUUCAAGAGAAAUAUAGAUCAUCUACUGACACAUGGCUUUUCUUUUAUACUCAUUUCAAUAUUUUCAAAUAAAAAUUAAAAAGCAAAUUAUAAAAUCUAAGUGAAUAGUUUUUUCUAUCAAGUUUGACAUUCUUUUUCUUGCAGGAGUAAGGUUUUCUGUGUCAGGCUUAGAAAAGCCUCAGUGUAAUUUUGCACAUUGAUCCUUAAUCUCCACCCAUCAACUUUGCCUCUACCCCUAGGGCCUUCUUAUUAGAUAUCAAUUUAUUUAUGUAUUUAUUUAUUUAUGCACAUUGGUGUUUUGCCUGCAAGUAUGUCUGUAUGAGGGUGUCAGAUCCCUUGGAACAGGAGUUAAAAACAGUUGUGAGCUGACAUGGGAAUUUGACCCUGGCUCCUCUGGAAGAGCAGCCAGUGUUCCUAACUGCCGAGCCAUCUCUCCAGCAGAUCACUGCAGUAAUUAAAUCUACUGCCUAUAAAUGAAAUGUCUAGGACCCACUGGCUUCACUGAUGAAUUCUAUCAACAUUAAAAAAACAAAACUAACUUCAGUUCUUCUUAAAAUAUUUUUUAAAACUCAAAUGGGAGGAUAUCUGUACUGUGGGAACAAGGACCCGGAAGAGGGGCAGGGUGGAGACAGUGCCCACGAAGAUGAAGGAAUUCAGACUACGGACACCAGCAUUAGAGUGCAGAUCUAACUUUAUCGUUUAUUAAAUAGGCUUAUAUAUAGCUUUUUAGCCAAUUAGGGUAUGUUUAUGCUUUCAAGGGCAAAUUGGGGUGCAACCUAUGUUGUUUAGCCAAAUCUGACUCGCUUGCCCCUGAGCCUGCCCAGCCUAAAGGGGAGGGUCCGAUCCCCCGGGGGAGAUUCUGGUGAAGACAGAAGCAGCAGCCAAAGCCCUGGCCUCGGGUCCUUUGUGUUGUCUCCCUGGUAUAUCGGCGCCAUGUCAGAUGAUACACGGUGUACAGUGGGUCAGGACUCUUUGAGGAGUCGGAGGAGCCUGUGGGGCCUCGUUCGCUCUCUGUCCCACUUCUUCCUCCACCAGGUUUAUCUCCCCAUCCCCUCCCCCUACCUCCCCCACUCCCACCCCCUCACAGGUUCAGUCCUUUAUCAGCAAGGUGGGAGCAUGGCAGCAUCCAGACCUGCAUGGCACAGGAGGAGCUGAGAGUUCUACAUCUACAUCUGAAGGCAGCUAGGAGAAGACUGAAUUCCAGGGUGCUAGGAUGGGGGUCUUAAAGCUCAUACCCACAAUGACACACUUCCUCAGAAAAAGUCACACCUACUCCAAUAAGGCCACACCUCCUAAUAGUGUCACUCCCAAGGCCAAAAAUAUUCAAACCAUCACAAUACACAAUGGAUACUACUUAGCUGUUCAAAGAAGGAAGUCCUGUCAUUUGCAGUCAUGAUGAUGAAUAUUAGAGGUCAUCAUAUUAGGUAAAAUAAGCAUAAAACAGUGGUCACUGGGAACAGAGGAGGACACAAUAGAGAAAGGAUGGAGAAAGAAGAUGGUGUUGUAUACUACAGUGGGGAAACAAUUGGUUUAAACAGUACAACACAUUUCCAAAUUUCUAGAAAGGUAUCAAGGCCCCAACAUGUAUUAAUGUUUGAUGAGACAGAGAUAUUUCUUAUCCUGGCUUGAUUGCACAUUAUAAUCUUCUGCCAAAGUACCAUAAUGCAAUCCAUAAAGAUGUUCAAAUAUUAUAACCAGAGUCCCCCAACACGUCUGAUCACUUUUGAAUCUACCAGCUCAGAGUGAGAGUUCCUGUUCUUCAUGCCCAACAGUAUGAUGAUGUUUGUUGUAGAUUUGGCCAUCCUAAUGGGUGCACCAUGGUCUCUCAUUGAUCCUUUCAUUUGUAUGUUCUUGAUGGCAUAGAAGUGGAGAACUUUCUACACGCCUCUUUGCCAUCUAUAUAUACUCUUUGAUGAGGUGCCUAUACUUGCUAUAAUGUUCUCAGAGAUUUUAUUAUGAAUAGUGUAUAUUUAAAAUUAUUUUCUACAUAUAUUUAUAUAAUCAUAUUAUGUUUCUUCUUUGAUCUGUUGUUUUUUUAAUGUUGAAUCAGUCUUAAUUCUUUUUCUGCAUUAUUGAAUUCUACUUGUUAACAUUUUGUUGGGUCUUGCAUCUAGUUUUAUGAGAGAUAUUUGCUUUUAGUUUUUUCUUGCAAUAUUCACAAAGAUUGUUUUUAUAAAUAUUUUUAAAGAUU
rnacentral:lncRNA from 1 species